rnacentral:lncRNA from 1 species
AAUAUCCAAACUCAAAUGGGGUCCUCAUUAUAAUUAUUAUCACACUCUUUCAUAGAAUAGUGAGGACUACUAUGACACCAUCUCGAACCAUCACUCCAUUCCCCGACUAGUCCCAGCUACGUUCUCAUUUCCUGAAGAGAACAAUGAAAGCAAAAGGGUGAGCUCAACUAGCCCAGUAAGAAAUAUUAUGACUAAGAUAAUGCAGAAUAAAUUAUCGUUAGCCUUCAAAAGUGUUAAAUUGAUAAAAUACAAUAAACAUCAAGUUUAACUACAGCGAAAAUCCAUUAGAAGAGUCAAGUUGAACAUAAUAUCUACUAUCUUCUAUGAUUUAAAAAGUUUUUCAUCAACUUUAUCACUUAGACUUAGCUUAAUAAAUAAACCACAUCAUCGAAUUAUCCCUGCAUUACCGACCAAAGAUAUUCAUGUAAUCAUCAAUGGUCAUGAUUAUACCGAAUAAUCCCUAGUCAUAAUCAUACCAACAACUGUCCAUCAAUGCACUACAGGCCAAUGAGGACUCUUACCACAUCAUUUGUAACAUUACGGGUCAUGAUUAUACCGAAUGAUCCCUGGUAGUAAUCAUACCAAUCAAUAGUCCAUCUAUGCACGUAAGUCACAGAUGACUUUCAUCACAAUAUAAGCAUGAGGAUGAUGACAAUGAUAUAAGAAUUCAAUUAAAAGAAAGCAAAGGAUAAAUUUUAAAGAUUUAUAAUUUAAUUUAUCUAGAAUUUAAUAAUGUUCAAAUUGCC